rnacentral:tRNA from 1 species
CCGCUGAUCUGGUCGACGGCCCGCACCACCGGCUCGCCGUCGGUGACCGUGGCGGCGCGGUCGGCCCAGCCGUCGGUCUCGGUGUCGAUCACCGGGCC